rnacentral:rRNA from 1 species
UACGAAGGGGGGCUAGCGUUGCUCGGAAUCACUGGGCGUAAAGGGUGCGUAGGCGGGUCUUUUAAGUCAGGGGUGAAAUCCUGGAGCUCAACUCCAGAACUGCCUUUGAUACUGAAGAUCUUGAGUUCGGGAGAGGUGAGUGGAACUGCGAGUGUAGAGGUGAAAAUUCGUAGAUAUUCGCAAGAACACCAGUGGCGAAGGCGCUCACUGGCCCGAUACUGACGCUGAGGCACGAAAAGCGUGGGGGAGCAAA